rnacentral:rRNA from 1 species
GUUAUAGUAAAGGCUUCGGUCGUCUUAUGAUGUGCCUGCGUUAGAUUAGUUAGUUGGUAAGGUAACGGCUUACCAAGGCGACGAUCUAUAGCCGAGCUGAGAGGCUAAUCGGCCACAUUGGAACUGAGACACGGUCCAGACUCCUACGGGAGGCAGCAGCUAAGAAUCUUCCGCAAUAGUCGAGAGACUGACGGAGCGACGCCGCGUGAACGAUGAAGGCCUUAUAGGUUGUAAAGUUCUUUUAUAGGUGACGAAUAUUUGAUGUAGGUCAAGUUGACGGUAGCCUAUGAAUAAGGUCCGGCUAACUACGUGCCAGCAGCCGCGGUAAUACGUAGGGACCAAGCGUUGUUCGGAAUUAUUGGGCGUAAAGGGUACGUAGGCUGCCCGGUAAGUCAGAUGUGAAACCCUUGGGCUCAACCUGAGGCUUGCGUUUGAUACUGCUGGGCUAGAGUUACUGAGAGGAAGGCGGAAUUCCUGGUGUAGGGGUGAAAUCUAUAGAUAUCAGGAAGAACAUCUGUUGCGAAGGCGGCCUUCUGGCAGUUAACUGACGCUCAUGUACGAAAGUUAGGGUAGCAAACAGGAUUAGAGACCCUGGUAGUCCUAACUGUAAACGUUGUAUACUAGGUGGUUGGAGUAUUGAUCCUCUGACUGCCGCAGCUAACGCAUUAAG